rnacentral:rRNA from 1 species
UUCCUACGGGAGGCAGCAGUGAGGAAUAUUGGUCAAUGGCCGAGAGGCUGAACCAGCCAAGUCGCGUGAGGGAUGACGGUCCUAUGGAUUGUAAACCUCUUUUGUCGGGGAGCAAAGGACGCCACGUGUGGUGUUUUGCGAGUACCCGAAGAAAAAGCAUCGGCUAACUCCGUGCCAGCAGCCGCGGUAAUACGGAGGAUGCGAGCGUUAUCUGGAUUUAUUGGGUUUAAAGGGUGCGUAGGCGGUCCGUUAAGUCAGCGGUAAAAUUGCGGGGCUCAACCCCGUCGAGCCGUUGCAACUGGCAG